rnacentral:rRNA from 1 species
GACGAACGCNGGCGGCGUGCUUAACACAUGCAAGUCGAACGAAGAGCGAUGGAAGCUUGCUUCUAUCAAUCUUAGUGGCGAACGGGUGAGUAACGCGUAAUCAACCUGCCCUUCAGAGGGGGACAACAGUUGGAAACGACUGCUAAUACCGCAUACGAUCUAAUCUCGGCAUCGAGGAAAGAUGAAAGGUGGCCUCUAUUUAUAAGCUAUCACUGAAGGAGGGGAUUGCGUCUGAUUAGCUAGUUGGAGGGGUAACGGCCCACCAAGGCGAUGAUCAGUAGCCGGUCUGAGAGGAUGAACGGCCACAUUGGGACUGAGACACGGCCCAGACUCCUACGGGAGGCAGCAGUGGGGAAUCUUCCGCAAUGGACGAAAGUCUGACGGAGCAACGCCGCGUGAGUGAUGACGGCCUUCGGGUUGUAAAG